rnacentral:rRNA from 1 species
CAUGCAAGUCGAGCGGUAGCACAGAGAGCUUGCUCUCGGGUGACGAGCGGCGGACGGGUGAGUAAUGUCUGGGAAACUGCCUGAUGGAGGGGGAUAACUACUGGAAACGGUAGCUAAUACCGCAUAAUGUCGCAAGACCAAAGUGGGGGACCUUCGGGCCUCAUGCCAUCAGAUGUGCCCAGAUGGGAUUAGCUAGUAGGUGGGGUAACGGCUCACCUAGGCGACGAUCCCUAGCUGGUCUGAGAGGAUGACCAGCCACACUGGAACUGAGACACGGUCCAGACUCCUACGGGAGGCAGCAGUGGGGAAUAUUGCACAAUGGGCGCAAGCCUGAUGCAGCCAUGCCGCGUGUGUGAAGAAGGCCUUCGGGUUGUAAAGCACUUUCAGCGGGGAGGAAGGCGGUGAGGUUAAUAACCUCAUCGAUUGACGUUACCCGCAGAAGAAGCACCGGCUAACUCCGUGCCAGCAGCCGCGGUAAUACGGAGGGUGCAAGCGUUAAUCGGAAUUACUGGGCGUAAAGCGCACGCAGGCGGUCUGUCAAGUCGGAUGUGAAAUCCCCGGGCUCAACCUGGGAACUGCAUUCGAAACUGGCAGGCUAGAGUCUUGUAGAGGGGGGUAGAAUUCCAGGUGUAGCGGUGAAAUGCGUAGAGAUCUGGAGGAAUACCGGUGGCGAAGGCGGCCCCCUGGACAAAGACUGACGCUCAGGUGCGAAAGCGUGGGGAGCAAACAGGAUUAGAUACCCUGGUAGUCCACGCCGUAAACGAUGUCGAUUUGGAGGUUGUGCCCUUGAGGCGUGGCUUCCGGAGCUAACGCGUUAAAUCGACCGCCUGGGGAGUACGGCCGCAAGGUUAAAACUCAAAUGAAUUGACGGGGGCCCGCACAAGCGGUGGAGCAUGUGGUUUAAUUCGAUGCAACGCGAAGAACCUUACCUGGUCUUGACAUCCACAGAACUUUCCAGAGAUGGAUUGGUGCCUUCGGGAACUGUGAGACAGGUGCUGCAUGGCUGUCGUCAGCUCGUGUUGUGAAAUGUUGGGUUAAGUCCCGCAACGAGCGCAACCCUUAUCCUUUGUUGCCAGCGGUCCGGCCGGGAACUCAAAGGAGACUGCCAGUGAUAAACUGGAGGAAGGUGGGGAUGACGUCAAGUCAUCAUGGCCCUUACGACCAGGGCUACACACGUGCUACAAUGGCAUAUACAAAGAGAAGCGACCUCGCGAGAGCAAGCGGACCUCAUAAAGUAUGUCGUAGUCCGGAUUGGAGUCUGCAACUCGACUCCAUGAAGUCGGAAUCGCUAGUAAUCGUAGAUCAGAAUGCUACGGUGAAUACGUUCCCGGGCCUUGUACACACCGCCCGUCACACCAUGGGAGUGGGUUGCAAAAGAAGUAGGUAGCUUAACCUUCGGGAGGGCGCUUACCACUUUG